GGGCUGACCUCCACUGGGGAAGGAUCUCUGGUUGGAGAUCCUUCCUUGGUGAAGCUUUCCCCUGUGAACCUAGAAUUUUCUGAAUCAGCACAGUGUGAUCUGAAUUGCAUCCAUAAAGCACAGAUGGGAGAAAAGAUAGCCCAUACCUUUCAAUGCCAUUCACUUGAACAGAACCAUCGUGCUUCACUCAUGCAAACAACAGUCCUCUCAGCAAAUUGAAACCCACACUCAAGACUGCAGAAAGGGUGAGCAAGCCAUGUGAAGACCAUACUGUAUGCUUAAUUAUCUAUAAGCAAGCAAGCAAUGCUCUGAAAGCUAGUAAGAGUUGCAUAGAAAAAGGAAAUGCUGUCUGCAGAACAUCAGCUGCAGAAUUUAGAAGUUCUGCAAUGAAGGAAGCAGCCAGUUGAAGGUAAGAAAGGACAGCCCUACGGAUGAUGCAAUUAAGUGCUGCAUUUAAGAACUGACUGUAUCCCUGCUACUGACGCAGUCCACUGGGAAUGCCAGAAAAUCUGUGCAACUGUCCUGAGACCACAGGACAUUAUCAAUCUGUGGAGUAUUCUGCAAAUGAACUAGGGCUGUGUUUGGAAUAUGAAGGACUAUUAAAGAUGGUAAUGCAAGAAAAUCAAUUGACUAGGUUAAUGUUUCCAAAUGAGUACCAAGAAGUGUGGUUACAUUUGUCUUCUUCCUAU